rnacentral:rRNA from 1 species
GUGAGGAAUAUUGGUCAAUGGGCGCAAGCCUGAACCAGCCAUGCCGCGUGCAGGAAGACGGUCCUAUGGAUUGUAAACUGCUUUUAUUUGGGAAUAAACCUCCUUACGUGUAGGGAGCUGAAGGUACCAAAUGAAUAAGCACCGGCUAACUCCGUGCCAGCAGCCGCGGUAAUACGGUGGGUGCAAGCGUUAUCCGGAAUCAUGGGGUUUAAAGGGUCCGCAGGCGGUCAUAUAAGUCAGUGGUGAAAGCCUACAGCUCAACUGUAGAACUGCCAUUGAUACUGUAUGACUUGAAUUCGAUCGAAGUGGGCGGAAUGUGACAUGUAGCGGUGAAAUGCUUAGAUAUGUCACAGAACACCGAUAGCGAAGGCAGCUCACUAGGUCUGGAUUGACGCUCAGGGACGAAAGCGUGGGGAGCAAACAGGAUUAGAAACCCUGGUAGUCC